rnacentral:rRNA from 1 species
AGUGAACGCUGGCGGUAGGCCUAACACAUGCAAGUCGAACGGCAGCACAGUAAGAGCUUGCUCUUACGGGUGGCGAGUGGCGGACGGGUGAGGAAUACAUCGGAAUCUACUUUUUCGUGGGGGAUAACGUAGGGAAACUUACGCUAAUACCGCAUACGACCUACGGGUGAAAGCAGGGGAUCUUCGGACCUUGCGCGAUUGAAUGAGCCGAUGUCGGAUUAGCUAGUUGGAGGGGUAAAGGCCCACCAAGGCGACGAUCCGUAGCUGGUCUGAGAGGAUGAUCAGCCACACUGGAACUGAGACACGGUCCAGACUCCUACGGGAGGCAGCAGUGGGGAAUAUUGGACCAUGGGCGCAAGCCUGAUCCAGCCAUACCGAGUGGGUGAAGAAGGCCUUCGGGUUGUAAAGCGCUUUUGUUGGGAAAGAAAAGCAGCAGGUUAAUACCCCGCUGUUCUGACGGUACCCAAAGAAUAAGCACCGGCUAGCUUCGUG